CAUAGUCAGAGCAUGGAGUUAGAAGAGGAGCUUGGAAAUCAAUAUUUGAAGAUUCCUUGUCUUAAAGGGAGGAGAGUAUAGCAAUCCUGGACCAAGCAGAGGAAGCCACAUAUGCGCCCCUAACUAAUGACACAGUUCGCCCACUUCUAAUCAGUCCACCUACAGCUUCCCCAGGCCGACAGUGUUUGUUGGAAUCCUUGGCAAAUUUAACAGGAUUUCUGAUGGAUCUAAAUCAAAGGCAAGACAAAGCCUGGUUUCUUUGAAAAGGCCAAAUGGCGUGGGACCAUGCAGGAGGGAGUGACUCACUGCCAUGGGGAGUCACCAACGGCUCUACCGAGAAGGAGCUGACGUCAGAGACCCGAGUCGUGACUGUGAGGGGAGAUGAAGAAAGCCCAUCACGAAAGGCUGCGGCCACACAGGGACACCAGCGAUGACUGCAGUUAUACAGAGAAAUCUGCUGUGUCUGCAAGGGACAGCGGCUGAGCCUGAAUUCACAGGAAAUCCAAGCGCAGGACUACAAUAUCAUUGCUGCUACACUCGGAUGUUCAGAGAAAAUGUAGGGUCUUCCUCGAGAGACCCACCCACUGGGUAACAACGAAUUAAUGAACUUUAACCUAAUCUGGUAAUCUAAGUAUGAUGCAAUAAUUGUAAUAGCUUCUGUACUUAAAAGUGAUGAGCAUUGAGGAAAUAUUCCCUUCUCUCCCCCCAUCCUCUCCUUCUCUCCUGCCCUCCGUCUGCUUAACCCUACUGUGCUGCUAUGCUCACUUUGACAGAGCUACCCCCAAAUCGGGGCAGGGGGGCAGCCUAAAGCCAUGGACAGGAGCAGGACAGAAGCCUCUCUGUCCUCCAGCUUUUCAACACGUUUCUAGAUAUUUCUAAAGCUGCCUCCAACCUACUCCUUGAGGGGACAGGGAGAGAAAAGGAGAAACUUAGCAUCUUCCUUCCGCCUUGCUCAUUUCUCCCCCUGCUCUCUCCUGGGCUGGAAGAGGCAGGCUUUCUCCUUUGUCCUUGAUGUAUCACCAUGGGACUGUCUCUAACCCAAAACUCUACAGUGCAGGUGGCCAGGCCAGGCUCUUGAUAGUCUCUGUGAGGAGACAAAAGAAAAGGUAAAUCAUAUUUCUCAACAAAACUGGCUUGUCACACUAGAUCUUUGGGCAAAAUCCUGUAUUAAAUGCC